CCUCUAUACACCUAGAAGAAAGUUUAGAGUCUUUUAACAAAAAAAACAUUAAGAGUGGAGAAAAAAAAACUUUAAACCUAAUAAUCCCCUAAACCCAGAUCUUCCUCUUGUCUUCGCCGAUGCCGAUGGCCAAGCUCCUCUUCUCCAGUUCUCCUCAUCGUCUUGUCGAAGCUAAUCUUCCUCAAGUUUUGUUCUGUUUUCUACACGCUUCAUGACCAUGGAAAUUUGCAAAACGAAAUCGAGACCUCUACGGCGAUACCGUCUUUCAGCAUGUCGAUAUUGCUUCUUUAGAUAAUUUAAACAGUCAGGAGAUCUGCACAAUCAGCAACUCGCCGCCGGUUAUGCAACUCCUGACACCCUAGAUCUACACAUCUCUUCUUGUCUUCGUUUCCAAAUCCUUCUUCUCCGUCAUCUCCGUAUUAGUUAGGGUUUGUGUUGACCGGAUAUCUCUCUUAUUCUGCAUCGUGAUCGUGAUUGCACUUGAGAUUCAUAAUUGGUUUUUGUUUAAUUUUCCUCUUUGAUUGCGAGUUUUGGAUUUUGAAGGCAUGUGUAAGUUAUUCAACAUUUUGCCAUUCUCUAGCUUAUAUCUUUUGACUUUGAAGUAAAAUGGAUAAAUACAAGAGCUUCAAUAAACCGUAGCUUGAGUCUCCGAUUAACGAGAAUGAGAUCUGUAUCACCAGUCAAGGCCUUAUCCUAAUUUAUGUUGUUUAGUUGCAGGUUGAGUAAGAAUGGGUCUACUAAAACUGGAGGACUUCAAGACUUUGCUUAAUCAGGCUCCAAAGAGUUGGAUAGACAACUGUUUGCGUUAAACUAGCUUGCUACCUAAAGAAGCAGCAAGUAUGCUUUUUCAAAAUACAGGACAUGCUCGGAAAUGAGUUUUAUGCUGGUGCUUACAAGGUAUAUUCACUUGGCUUUUAAUGUUUUGGUACUCUAAAGGGUUGAAUCUUUAUUUGUCAAGAACUGUUGUUUAUUUCUGUUAAGGACGAUUCAACAUGUAUUUAGCCAUUUGAUCAUUAGAGUUCGAUCAGUGAGUAGAUCAAGGAAUAGCACCAAGCUUGAGUCUUUACCAAAGACUUCUAGAUUUGGCAUACAAAGUUAGCUCUUCGGUUUGAGAACUUAUCUAUAGUUUUUGGUUUUCGUUCUCUUUUUGGUUCCUAUCAACUGAGUUGGUGUAAAUUUGCAGCUUGAUCUAGUAGAUAUCUUCCAAAAUAUCGGGUCAUACUUUCUUAAUUUGCAGCAAGAACAAGUCUUCAGCAGUGAAGCACCAUUUGGAGUUUCACAGGGAGAAAGGACCAGAACGGUUGUGUACUGUUGGAAAGCAAAGUGGUUGUGGGAUUGUGCGCGAAGAAGUAGAGAUCAGCGGGUGACCUAUUAAGCAAGAAGAGGAGCAUUUAGAUUUAGAUUAGAAUAGAGUAGGGUAGUUGAUGUUUUUGUAUAAGAUUUGGUGUGGAUUAAUGUUUGCAAGACUUGAUAUGUUUUUAUGGAGUUUCUAUUGAAAAUUUAUAUUUAAAUUUA